rnacentral:tRNA from 1 species
UGGGGCGUCGCCAAGCGGUAAGGCACGGGUCUUUGGAACCCGCACCCGGAGGUUCGAAUCCUCCCGCCCCAGCCA